GUGGAGCCUGGGGACAGACUGGCAUUACCAGUUGCCAAUUGUAACUGGAGAGAUUCAGUUACACUCUCCUGGGGAGAUCCAGUAGAGCCAGCCCUGGGACAGAAGUCCGGAUGGCGGUGGGGUGGGUGUGGUGACAGGCUAGAAAGGGGUGGAGCCAUCCGUGGGCGGUACCAGGCCUGUAGGCGGAACCAGGCCUGGGACAGGAGUCUAAUCGGGGCCUGGCCAGGUAGGGGCGGAGCCAUCCGUGGGCAGGCGCUGUCUUUUUUUUUUUUUUCGAGACAGGGUUUCUCUGUGUAGUCCUGGCUGUCCUGGAACUCACUUUGUAGACCAGGUUGGCCUCGAACUCAGAAAUUCGCCUGCCUCUGCCUCCCAAGUGCUGGGAUUAAAGGCUUGCGCCAUCAGGCCCGGUGGGCGGGACAUGUCUAAGCGGGGCGGGACCAGAGUUGGAAGCAUGAUCAGGCCCGGGCAGGGGAUGGCGCGGCCAGGGUCCACAGCGCGAGCUGUUGGUUGGUGCGGCGUGGCAGGGCGUGGCGCGGGAGGCACCGUUGGUUGGUGCGCGGCUGGAGGGUGCGGCGCUGGCGGCGCCGAUGUUUGGGCAAGGCAGGCUGGGCCAGGCCAUGGCCCUGCUGUUGUUUCUGGGCAUGACAGCGGCGCUGGCCCGGGGCUGCCUGCAGUGCGACCCCAAUUUCGCGGAGAAGUUCUCCUUCUAUCGUCACCACGUGAACCUCAAGUCGUGGUGGGUGGGUGACAUUCCUGUGUCGGGGAUGCUGCUCUCCGAUUGGAUCCAGAACACGAUGAAGGAGCUCCAUCUGGCCAUUCCUGCUGAGAUCACCCGGAAGAAGCUAUAUCAAGUAGCAGAAGCCGUGUACCAGAGGAUGGACCAGCUGUACCAGGGGAAGAUGUACUUCCCAGGGUAUUUCCCCAAUGAGCUGCGGGCCAUCUUCCGGGAGCAAGUGCGCCUCAUCCAGAACGCCAUCAUAGAGAGCCGCAUUGACUGUCAGCGUCACUGUGUACGAGACCAUCUCCUGCAGCAACUGCACGGACUCCCACGUCAUUUGCUUUGGCUACUACUGCAAGUCAUCGGCACAGUGGGAGUCAGCUGUACAGGGCCUUCUGAAAUACAUAAACACCUGGCACAAGUAAGUUCCUGCUGGAAUCCAAGGUUGUGUGUGCCUUAUGAUGAGGGGUUGAAGCUUGCCAAGGCUCAGGAGGACCUUGCCCACACCCUUCAAAGGUCUCCAAGUUCAGCUGGAGGAAGGGGGCAAGCCAUCCUGGCUGAAGGGUCUUCAUGAAACCUAUUCUUCCCUGAAUUGGUGUGGUGGCAGACCUGGAGGGUCUAACUGGAGCCCCAUUCUAUUUCAGACAGGAUGAAAAGAUGAGUCACACCUGCCUGUGUGGUCAACGCACUGCCUGAACCAUGCUGUGUUUCUUCCCUGCGGCCUCAACUUGGAUGUGCAGAACCACCCCAGCCUUGUGAGUGAGCUGGGGAAUAAGGCUACAAAGAAGCAGGUGACCUGUGGAAAACAGAAUUCCAAAGUCAAGUGGCCUCUUUGCCACAGACCUCUCAUGCCCUAUCGAGGCCUGUCAUUGUGGGUGCUAGGGAGGGUCCCUAUCCCACUGGCACACUUUAGGAUUUAAGAACAGGCAGGGACUAGGUGUAGCAAUGCAUUCCUAUAAUCCCAGCCUUCCAGGAGCCUGAGGCAGGAGAAUCUUAGGGGCUAGCUUGGACUAUAUUAAUGGGCUAUGGGAGGCAGCCUAGGAAGGGAGGCAGGAGGGCAUGUGCAGACAAUGGGCUUAGAGCACCUCCUCCUCAUCCCCCAAAGCCUGUCACAAAACAUAAAGUGUCUGGAACCUCAGCAUCUGGUCAACCUGACCUUGGAAAAAGUCUCUGAGUGUCUGACCCAGCACUGACAGUGGCUGCCAGCCCCCAGCCUCGGCAGAGGCCAGGACUCAACUGCACUGUUGCCUCUGGAGAAGCUAGCUGCUGCCUGCCUCAAGUUACCCCUCCCACUCCCAUGGAUCCCAGGCUGGGCCGGGACAGGGGAGGGCAGGGAGAUGGGUUUGUGUAAGAUAGUGGGGAACCCCCCAGGGCAGGGCCCUCUGAGAUAUUUUGAUUAAAAUGCCCUGACAUUU